UACGUAGGGUGCAAGCGUUAAUCGGAAUUACUGGGCGUAAAGCGUGCGCAGGCGGUUGUGCAAGACAGAGGUGAAAUCCCCGGGCUUAACCUGGGAACUGCGAUGGAAACUAGCGAGCUGGAGUGUGGCAGAGGGGGGUGGAAUUCCGCGUGUAGCAGUGAAAUGCGUAGAGAUGCGGAGGAACACCGAUGGCGAAGGCAGCCCCCUGGGCUGAGAUUGACGCUCAGGCACGAAAGCGUGGGGAGCAAACAGG
rnacentral:rRNA from 1 species